rnacentral:lncRNA from 1 species
UCUUCGGUGAGGCCCGCGUUACCAUGCGUAAGACCGCUGCCAAGGCCAAGCCUGUCUCAUCGGGUAGCCCAUGGUACGGCUCCGACCGUGUGUUGUACCUAGGCCCGCUAUCCGGCGAGCCACCGAGCUAUCUGACUGGUGAGUUUCCUGGUGACUACGGGUGGGACACCGCCGGGCUCUCAGCCGACCCCGAGACAUUCGCCAAGAACCGCGAGCUGGAACUUAUCCACUCCCGCUGGGCUAUGCUCGGUGCCCUUGGAUGCGUCUUCCCCGAGCUGCUUGCCCGCAAUGGCGUCAAGUUCGGCGAGGCCGUCUGGUUCAAGGCUGGCUCACAGAUCUUCAGUGAGGGCGGGCUCGAUUACCUCGGCAACCCCAGCCUUGUCCACGCGCAAAGCAUCCUCGCCAUCUGGGCUUGCCAGGUCGUGCUCAUGGGUGCCGUUGAGGGAUAUCGUGUUGCUGGUGGCCCACUCGGUGAGAUCGUCGACCCUCUCUACCCAGGCGGUAGUUUCGACCCACUCGGUUUGGCCGACGACCCAGAGGCAUUCGCCGAGCUCAAGGUUAAGGAGCUCAAGAACGGCCGCCUCGCCAUGUUCUCCAUGUUCGGCUUCUUCGUACAGGCUAUCGUCACCGGCAAAGGACCACUCGAGAACCUCGCCGACCACCUUGCCGACCCGGUCAACAACAAUGCUUGGGCCUUCGCCACAAACUUCGUGCCGGGAAAGUAAGGCGGCCUGGCGCAUGUCUCUAGGAGGCCAUGCUCAGGGUGAAGUGGGCCUAGCUGGUUUCAGUUGUACUUGUACCACCCUGUUGUAAAUUACGAACAUUUCCAUGCAAAAGUUUGCUAGAUUUCAUGAAGGACACUUUGUGAUCGUCGUCCUGUUGUCCUGUUAAUUUCAUGCUUUGCUAUGACGAAUGCGUAAGCAAUGGAGGUGACAGUGAUAGUACUACUGUAAAAGAUGCCACUAUACAAACUGAAAGAAUUAAAAUCACCGGACC